rnacentral:lncRNA from 1 species
AUGACACAGGUUCUGAAGAAGAACUCAACUUCAGUCCCAUGGAGACCACCGAAUGAGGAACCUUCUCGCAGGAAAGAAAGUAACCAGGAAAAAAUAUAUAAAAAGAGUCAUCAAAGUUUUGAAGAUGAGAACAAGCUGGUACGUAUUCCAUUUACUUUCCAUAGAGCUAUCUCACCAUGAAACCUAAGAAAAAAAUAGCCAAUUUAUUUUUCCUCUGUUGAGGUUUAUAAAAGGAGGCUACUAUCUCUAAUUCUUAAUAGAGAUAACUAUUUAGAAAUAUAAAUGCUGAGAAGGAGAAUAGGCUCAGGUAUGCUGUGCUAAAUUGCCGUGCUAAACUAACAUAAAGGUGACCCUUCAUGUUAGUUUCUUAUAGUACUUUUGUGUGUAUAUGUGUGUGUGUGUAUACACAAAUUUAUACACACACACACAAACACACACACACACACUUGCUUAUCUGCUCAUUAUUCCACCCAACCAAGGUUAAAAAAAAAAAAAAACCAACAAGAAUGUAGUAACAUAAAGCUAAUUCCUUCAUUUUUCUCAUUUCCAUAUUUUUUUCUGGGGUACUUUCCUACAUUGGAGGGUAAAAUACAAAGGAUUAUACUUGUAAAUGUUUAAGAAAAUAUAUUUAACCUUAAUUACUGAAUGUAUGGUUCAGUGGGGAAAAGGGUAAAGAUACAACAUUAACUAAGACACAAUCAUUUUACUAGAAGGAAAUGUUCACAGUCAGCUGGUGAGAGGAACUUAUGUACCACUGAUGCAAAUAGAAUGAUGGGGAAUUGAGUGGUAAGGGAAGGAAUACUGAUUGUGAUCUGGGCUGUAUCCUGCCCUUUUCUCCAUUAUAGUAUUGGUGCUAAAUGGAGGAGGAGCCACUUUUAAAUCCCAUCCUAAAUAUGUCCAGUGUGGUCAAUAAAAAAAAUUAUUUUUGGCAUCUGGAGCAGUACAGCAAACUAGAUAGGGAGCUAGAAGCUAAAUAAAAAGUGAAACCGGAAAUUAAAUACCCAUCAAAAUCCAUCAGUUCCGUAUGGCUGAGAUAUAUCCUUACCUAGAGAGAGAUGAUUGCCCUUGAGGGCAUCUCAAAAAUCUCUUUCCAGCUUUGCUCUUUGAUGCUGUAAGUUUCUGAGUUGAGAGAUAAUUGGCUCAAUGUUUUGUUUUUGACUUGGAAUUUCAAAUCUUCAACCUUGUCCUGGAUGCAGUUGCAACAAUGCUUAUUUUCUGACCAGGGCUACUGAUAUCUACUUCAUAAUACUGUUGAGUAUUUUCCUGUAGCCUGAAUCAGUUUAACAUUUCUGACAAUCAAUUUCCAAGU